GUUUGUAGUACAUUACUACAUGAAUUAGUUGUGUGACUUUAUUUAAUUAGACUAAUGUUAUUAUUUUAUAUAUAUUGUAUUAAAAUGUUAAUACAAUUAUUUUAGUUACGUUAACAACAUUAUUAUGAAGUUAUAAAAAUUAUAACAUAAUAACAUUAAUUAUAUAAAAUAACAUUAGUCUAAAAAAAAUGUGUAAAAUAUAGGUUUAAAUAAAAUCACAUGACAUUACCAGUUAACUGGUAAUCUGUUAACAUAAUACAAGUAAUUUGUUAACAUAAAUGUAAAUAAUGUUGUUAAAUAAUAUUGUUAACGUUAAACGUUAAUGUUAAUGUUGUUAAAGUUAAUUUUUUUAUGUUAUAACAAAAUGGAAAAUAUUUAAUACAUAAAUAUUAUCAAAUAAAUAUGAUAAUAGUGUUAUUUUAGUUAAAAUAGCAGCAUUUUAGUUAUAUUAACAACAACUAUUUUAGUUAUCAUAUGUUAACAACUAGAUAUAUAUGUAUACCAUAAAGGUACACCUCAGUCUUGAAAGCUCCCUUGAGUUAUUGAAGAAGGAGAAAGUUUUUCUACUGAUUUUAUUCAAGUGUUGCAGCACUCUAUUUAUAAUUUAAAUUAUAACUAUAAUUAUAAGUCGAUAAUACAGCUAUACGGUUGGAAGCCAUACCGAGUAUUGGAUUUGCUUUUGAGUUGCUGCUAGUCUCUUAUGUAUUUAAUGUCAAUUUUCCUCAUGAACUUAUUUGUGUAUAUGGAUUUAUGGGAAAUUUGCUUGGAAUAAACAACAAAAGAAUUAUCGUCAAUUCCUUUUAAAGAAAGUAUUGUCAAAAGUUUAAGAUUAAAUUAAGCAAUAUGUUUGUGAAACGAAAAAGUAUUUUUAUCACUUUCUUGUUUAUUUUUGUUAUAUCGUCAGCCGAGAACCAAGAGACCGUAUGUCUUUUUUUUGUGUUUCCAAGAAAAUCAAGUUUCAAAUUUUAAUUUGCAAAGUCUUUCUUCCAGAAAAUUCGACUGAUUAUUUAAAUAUUUCCUAAAAUUUUAUUGUUGUGGUAUAUUUAUGAAACACACACUCCUGAAUAUUUAUUGAUAAUGGACAAAAAAAAAACACAAAAUGUUGAUAUACGGUUCUUCUCUGACGGCGGUAUCUAUUUUUCAAAGUUUUAACUCGCUUUUGCAUAUAAAUGUUUUAAGACUUGUUUUUAAUUUAAUAUUCACUGAAUUGAGUUUGAGUUUUAACUGAGUUUAUAUACUUAAAAGAAAUACUAUAACAAUGCAUUGACUCGGAAUUAAAAUAAAAUUUAUAUUUCAGUUUUUAUUAUUUUAUUGUGAUAUCGUUCCGUUAUUUCUUGUAAGCCAAUAUAAUAUACAUGUGUAAUUUAGUAUAUGACUCUAAAUGACAAUGUGUAAUUUAUUAUAUGAUAUAAAUAGCAUUCUUUA